UGUAAGGCUAGGAAUGCCCAGGUUUGGGAUCAUUCAAAUACACUAUCACUUGGAUCUCAUUCCCCUGAGGAAGUUCUGGCCCUUAGCCAAGAUGACUUUCAAUCCGUCUUUCAUGGAUUCAUUCUGUAGACUGAAGAUGAAGGAAUUCAGGAGUGAUGUGAUGACACUGGAGAGGAUAAAAGGAUCUUGUUAAGAUGCAGGCUGCACUUCUGUGAGGGCCAGACAUAGACAAGGAUGGAGAUCCCAUAGCCCAUGGAGACCACAGGGAAGUGAGAGGCACAGGUGCCAAAGGCUUUAUGUUGACCUUGGCCUGAGGGUAUCUUCACAAUGGUAGAGAUGAUGUAAACAAAGGAGACCACUGUGAGGUAAAGAAGCUGAUGAGUAGGACAAAGGAGCUGAGGAAGUCCAACAGCUCGAUGACAGGGAUUUCAGCACAGGCCUAGAGGAGCAAGUGGGUACUGUUACAGAAAAAAUAAUCAAUCACACUGGGGCCACAGUAUGGCAGUCCUGCCUUAAGGACAGUAGAUGGGAGGAUGAAGAAAAAGUCAUCCAUCCAGGAGAGGAUGACAAGAUAGACACUAAACAAGCUGGUCAUAAUCACCCGGUACUAAAGGAGGCUGCAAAUGGCCACAUAGCAGUCAUAGAACCUCACAGAAAAAAGGACAAACUCAGUGCAUCGAAAGAGGAAGUAGAAAAAUGACUUGCACGAAGCAUUCACCAAAUGAGAUGCUCUUCCUCUCUGAGAGGAAGCCUGUCAGCAUCUUGGGAAUAGCACAGGUCGUGGUUAACAUUUCAAUGAAAGACAGGACAGCUGGCUAAGGAAGAAAUAUAUGGGCUCCAGAGCUGGGAUUUGGUGUUUCCAUAGGAACUGCUGAGCCCAGAUCUCUUCUGAGGCUGGUCUAUUGCCAGAUUACCACAGGACGACCCCACAGCUCUCACCUGGGAGAAGGUCUAACUGAGAACAGCAAAGCUUUACAGUCAGCCUAGGCUCCCACAGGGUGAACCUCAUACGGUGGGCAAAAAUAGCCUCAUUUCUUUUCAGCCUGAAAAUUUGCCCCUGUAAACUCAUUAGUAACUCUAUUCCAG
rnacentral:lncRNA from 1 species